AUUGAACGCUGGCGGCAUGCCUUACACAUGCAAGUCGAACGGCAGCACGGGAGCAAUCCUGGUGGCGAGUGGCGAACGGGUGAGUAAAGCAUCGGAACGUGCCCAGUCGUGGGGGAUAACGUAGCGAAAGCUACGCUAAUACCGCAUACGAUCUGUGGAUGAAAGCGGGGGACCGUAAGGCCUCGCGCGAUUGGAGCGGCCGAUGUCAGAUUAGGUAGUUGGUGAGGUAAAGGCUCACCAAGCCGACGAUCCGUAGCUGGUCUGAGAGGACGACCAGCCACACUGGGACUGAGACACGGCCCAGACUCCUACGGGAGGCAGCAGUGGGGAAUUUUGGACAAUGGGCGCAAGCCUGAUCCAGCAAUGCCGCGUGCAGGAUGAAGGCCUUCGGGUUGUAAACUGCUUUUGUACGGAGCGAAACGGCUUCCACUAAUACUGGGGGCUAAUGACGGUACCGUAAGAAUAAGCACCGGCUAACUACGUGCCAGCCGCCGCAGUAA
rnacentral:rRNA from 1 species